rnacentral:rRNA from 1 species
UGAGGAACAUGACCUUCGGCGGGGGAUAGCCGGCCCAACGGCCAGGUAAUACCGCGUACGACCACAUGGGGACAUCCCUGAGUGGUGAAAGCAGCAAUGCGCCGAUGGAGUGCCUCGCGGCCUAUCAGCUAGUUGGUGAGGUAAUGGCUCACCAAGGCGACGACGGGUAGCCGGCCUGAGAGGGUGAUCGGCCACAUUGGAACUGAGACACGGUCCAGACUCUACGGGAGG